rnacentral:rRNA from 1 species
GCGUGUGUGAAGAAGGUCUUCGGAUUGUAAAGCACUUUCGACGGGGACGAUGAUGACGGUACCCGUAGAAGAAGCCCCGGCUAACUUCGUGCCAGCAGCCGCGGUAAUACGAAGGGGGCUAGCGUUGCUCGGAUUGACUGGGCGUAAAGGGCGCGUAGGCGGUUUGUACAGUUGGGCGUGAAAUUCCUGGGCUUAACCUGGGGGCUGCGUUCAAUACGUGCAGGCUUGAGUUCGGAAGAGGGUCGUGGAAUUCCCAGUGUAGAGGUGAAAUUCGU